GGGAGAGCGGGUCUCGCGAGAAGCGGUGGGCGGGAAACUAUCGGCGGCGCGUGCAGCCCGGGCAGCUUGCCUGCAAGCUAACUGCGCCGAGCCGAGCCGGCGGGAGGCGCUGCAGCGCGCCCUGUGCCGCCUCGUGCAGCGCUGUGAGGGGAAAGGCGGGAGCGUGUGUGAGGGAGGGGGAGAGAGAGGAGAGAGUGGGAGUCGGCGUUUGCUCUCACACAGUAUAGCCACGUGUAAAAUUUAACGUGUAAUUUUAACGUGUAAAAUUUAGUUUUUAAUGAGAAAAACGCUCUGCCAGCCACUGUAUAGAGGCAUUUAAAAGGAUGCUUGCAGAACCACCUGCUCCACCAGCCAGGAUUCUGAGCAUUGCAGGACCCAGAAUUUAACCUUACCACAGCUUUGCUUGUGGAAUUGUUAUACAUCGUUUGACCUACGAAGAACUGGUGGUGGUGAAGAGGAGAUAAACCAUUUCAGGCUGGCGAUGAUGAACUGGAGGAAUGAGAUUUUGAGAAGCCCCUGUCAGAAGGGGUGAAAGUGCAAGAGGAAGUGCAGCCGCUGCCAUCUUUCCUCCGCUCCAAACACACAGGGACGGACGGAGCCGGCAGCCCGGAGCCGCGGCCGCCCGAGCCCCCUCCCUCCCCGCUCGCCGCCG
ensembl:lncRNA